rnacentral:rRNA from 1 species
AUUGAACGCUGGCGGCAUGCUUUACACAUGCAAGUCGAACGGCAGCGCGGGCUUCGGCCUGGCGGCGAGUGGCGAACGGGUGAGUAAUACACCCGAACGUGCCCAGUCGUGGGGGCUAGCACGGCGAAAGCCGGAUUAAUACCGCAUACGACCUGAUGGUGAAAGCCGGGGAUCUUCGGACCUCGCGCUAUUGGCGCUGCCGAUGGGAGAUUAGCUAGUUGGUUGGGUAAAGGCCUACCAAGGCGACGAUCUGUAGCUGGUCUGAGAGGACGACCAGCCACACUGGGACUGAGACACGGCCCAGACUCCUACGGGAGGCAGCAGUGGGGAAUUUUGGACAAUGGGCGAAAGCCUGAUCCAGCAAUGCCGCGUGUGUGAUGAAGGCCUUCGGGUUGUAAAGCACUUUUGGCGGGAACGAAAAGGACUGUGCCAAUACCACGGUUCGAUGACGGUACCCGAAGAAUAAGCACCGGCUAACUACGUG